rnacentral:rRNA from 1 species
AGAGUUUGAUCCUGGCUCAGGAUGAACGCUAGCUACAGGCUUAACACAUGCAAGUCGAGGGGAAACGAUAUUGGAAGCUUGCUUCCGAUAGGCGUCGACCGGCGCACGGGUGAGUAACGCGUAUCCAACCUGCCCACCACUUGGGGAUAACCUUGCGAAAGUAAGACUAAUACCCAAUGACGUCUCUAGAAGACAUCUGGAAGAGAUUAAAGAUUUAUCGGUGAUGGAUGGGGAUGCGUCUGAUUAGCUUGUUGGCGGGGUAACGGCCACCAAGGCGACGAUCAGUAGGGGUUCUGAGAGGAAGGUCCCCCANAUUGGAACUGAGACACGGUCCAAACUCCUACGGGAGGCA